rnacentral:misc_RNA from 1 species
AACUGAUACUACCUGCGGGAACCUGCGGAGGGAUCAUUACAGAGUUGAAAAACUCCCAAACCCUUGUGAACAUACCUAACGUUGCUUCGGCGGUGCGGCCCUAGGCCGCUGCCUCCCCGUGAGGCGCCCGCCGGAGGUUUACAAACUCUAUGUAUUAUUUUGUUUUCUCUGAGUUGUCUUUUAAAUAAGUCAAAACUUUUAACAAUGGAUCUCU